AUGAACGCCGGCGGUGUGCCUAAUACAUGCAAGUCGAACGCGUUGGCCCAAUUGAUUGAUGGUGCUUGCACCUGAUUGAUUUUGGUCGCCAACGAGUGGCGGACGGGUGAGUAACACGUAGGUAACCUGCCCAGAAGCGGGGGACAACAUUUGGAAACAGAUGCUAAUACCGCAUAACAGCGUUGUUCGCAUGAACAACGCUUAAAAGAUGGCUUCUCGCUAUCACUUCUGGAUGGACCUGCGGUGCAUUAGCUUGUUGGUGGAGUAACGGCCUACCAAGGCGAUGAUGCAUAGCCGAGUUGAGAGACUGAUCGGCCACAAUGGGACUGAGACACGGCCCAUACUCCUACGGGAGGCAGCAGUAGGGAAUCUUCCACAAUGGGCGCAAGCCUGAUGGAGCAACACCGCGUGAGUGAAGAAGGGUUUCGGCUCGUAAAGCUCUGUUGUUAAAGAAGAACACGUAUGAGAGUAACUGUUCAUACGUUGACGGUAUUUAACCAGAAAGUCACGGCUAACUACGUGCCAGCAGCCGCGGUAAUACGUAGGUGGCAAGCGUUAUCCGGAUUUAUUGGGCGUAAAGAGAGUGCAGGCGGUUUUCUAAGUCUGAUGUGAAAGCCUUCGGCUUAACCGGAGAAGUGCAUCGGAAACUGGAUAACUUGAGUGCAGAAGAGGGUAGUGGAACUCCAUGUGUAGCGGUGGAAUGCGUAGAUAUAUGGAAGAACACCAGUGGCGAAGGCGGCUACCUGGUCUGCAACUGACGCUGAGACUCGAAAGCAUGGGUAGCGAACAGGAUUAGAUACCCUGGUAGUCCAGGCCGUAAACGAUGAGUGCUAGGUGUUGGAGGGUUUCCGCCCUUCAGUGCCGGAGCUAACGCAUUAAGCACUCCGCCUGGGGAGUACGACCGCAAGGUUGAAACUCAAAGGAAUUGACGGGGGCCCGCACAAGCGGUGGAGCAUGUGGUUUAAUUCGAAGCUACGCGAAGAACCUUACCAGGUCUUGACAUCUUGCGCCAACCCUAGAGAUAGGGCGUUUCCUUCGGGAACGCAAUGACAGGUGGUGCAUGGUCGUCGUCAGCUCGUGUCGUGAGAUGUUGGGUUAAGUCCCGCAACGAGCGCAACCCUUGUUACUAGUUGCCAGCAUUAAGUUGGGCACUCUAGUGAGACUGCCGGUGACAAACCGGAGGAAGGUGGGGACGACGUCAGAUCAUCAUGCCCCUUAUGACCUGGGCUACACACGUGCUACAAUGGACGGUACAACGAGUCGCGAACUCGCGAGGGCAAGCAAAUCUCUUAAAACCGUUCUCAGUUCGGACUGCAGGCUGCAACUCGCCUGCACGAAGUCGGAAUCGCUAGUAAUCGCGGAUCAGCAUGCCGCGGUGAAUACGUUCCCGGGCCUUGUACACACCGCCCGUCACACCAUGAGAGUUUGUAACACCCAAAGUCGGUGGGGUAACCUUUUAGGAGCCAGCCGCCUAAGGUGGGACAGAUGAUUAGGGUG
rnacentral:rRNA from 1 species